rnacentral:rRNA from 1 species
UUGAUCCUGGCUCAGGAUGAACGCUAGCGGCAGGCUUAACACAUGCAAGUCGAGGGGUAUAGUUCUUCGGAACUAGAGACCGGCGCACGGGUGCGUAACGCGUAUGCAAUCUACCUUUUACAGAGGGAUAGCCCAGAGAAAUUUGGAUUAAUACCUCAUAGUAUAAUGACUCGGCAUCGAGAUAUUAUUAAAGUCACAACGGUAAAAGAUGAGCAUGCGUCCCAUUAGCUAGUUGGUAAGGUAACGGCUUACCAAGGCUACGAUGGGUAGGGGUCCUGAGAGGGAGAUCCCCCACACUGGUACUGAGACACGGACCAGACUCCUACGGGAGGCAGCAGUGAGGAAUAUUGGACAAUGGGCGCAAGCCUGAUCCAGCCAUGCCGCGUGCAGGAUGACGGUCCUAUGGAUUGUAAACUGCUUUUAUACGAGAAGAAACACUACUUCGUGAAGUAGCUUGACGGUAUCGUAAGAAUAA